rnacentral:miRNA from 1 species
AGUAGAGAUGGGGUUUCACCAUGUUGGCCAGGCUGGUCUCAAACUCCUGACCUUGGGUGAUCCACCA